rnacentral:pre_miRNA from 1 species
GAGAGAUGGUGGACAGAUCAGGUACAAUAGGGAAUCCUAUCGUCAACAUUAUCUCAUAU